UACGUAGGGUGCAAGCGUUAUCCGGAAUUAUUGGGCGUAAAGAGCUCGUAGGCGGUUUGUCGCGUCUGCUGUGAAAACUGGAGGCUCAACCUCCAGCCUGCAGUGGGUACGGGCAGACUAGAGUGCGGUAGGGGAGAUUGGAAUUCCUGGUGUAGCGGUGGAAUGCGCAGAUAUCAGGAGGAACACCGAUGGCGAAGGCAGAUCUCUGGGGCCGUAACUGACGCUGAGGAGCGAAAAGCAUGGGGAGCGAACAGGAUUAGAUACCCGGG
rnacentral:rRNA from 1 species